rnacentral:rRNA from 1 species
AGAGGAUGCUUCUGGCGCGGUCCCUUCCGAGUUCCCUGGAACGGGACGCCGGAGAGGGUGAGAGCCCCGUACGGAUGGACGCCAAGCCUCUGUGAAGCUCCUUCGACGAGUCGAGUAGUUUGGGAAUGCAGCUCCAAAUGGGUGGUAAACAUCACCUAAGGCUAAAUAUUGGCGAGAGACCGAUAGCGGACAAGUACCGUGAGGGAAAGAUGAAAAGAACUUUGAAAAGAGAGUUAAACAGUACGUGAAAUUGUUGAAAGGGAAACGAUUGAAGUCAGUCGUGCUGGCGCGAAAUCAACCAUCUCGUCUUGAGGUCGCAUGGCGCGACGAGCCUCAAAACCGUCACGAAGUGUGAACUCUUGACGAAAAGGUGCACUUUCGUGUCCGCUGGUUAACAUCAAUUUCGACCGUCAUAAAAGGGCUGGAGGGAUGUGGCUCCUUCGGGAGUGUUAUAACCUUUAGCGGAAUGUGGUGUUCGGGAUUGAGGAUUGCAACGAAUACCUUCAGGGCUGUUCCACCUGGCUUCUCAUUGGUAUCCUGGUGACGACAGCUUGC